UACAGAGGUCUCAAGCGUUGUUCGGAUUCAUUGGGCGUAAAGGGUGUGUAGGUGGCGCGCUAAGUCGGGUGUGAAAUUUUGGAGCUUAACUCCGAAACUGCAUUCGAUACUGCCGUGCUUGAGGACUGGAGAGGAGACUGGAAUUUACGGUGUAGCGGUGAAAUGCGUAGAUAUCGUAAGGAAGACCAGUGGCGAAGGCGGGUCUCUGGACAGUUCCUGACGCUGAGGCACGAAGGUCAGGGGAGCAAACGGG
rnacentral:rRNA from 1 species